UACGUAGGGGGCAAGCGUUGUCCGGAAUCAUUGGGCGUAAAGCGCGUGUAGGCGGCCCGAUUAGUCCGCUGUGAAAGUCCAGGGCUCAACCCUGGGAUGCCGGUGGAUACUGUCGGGCUCGAGUCCGGAAGAGGCGAGUGGAAUUCCUGGUGUAGCGGUGAAAUGCGUCAGAUAUCAGGAGGAACACCCGGUGGCGAAGGCGGCAU
rnacentral:rRNA from 1 species